GGCUGGUUUGGUGUAGUGGUUUGAGUGUUGGACUUCGACUCUGGAGACCAUGGUUCAUUUCCCUGCUCAGCCA